rnacentral:rRNA from 1 species
CCUACGGGCGGCUGCAGUGGGGAAUAUUGGACAAUGGGGGGAACCCUGAUCCAGCCAUGCCGCGUGUGUGAAGAAGGCCCUCGGGUUGUAAAGCACUUUCAGUGAGGAAGAACGCCUGGUGGUUAAUACCCAUCAGGAAAGACAUCACUCACAGAAGAAGCACCGGCUAACUCCGUGCCAGCAGCCGCGGUAAUACGGAGGGUGCGAGCGUUAAUCGGAAUUACUGGGCGUAAAGCGCGCGUAGGUGGCUUGAUAAGCCGGUUGUGAAAGCCCCGGGCUCAACCUGGGAACGGCAUCCGGAACUGUCAAGCUAGAGUGCAGGAGAGGAAGGUGGAAUUCCCGGUGUAGCGGUGAAAUGCGUAGAGAUCGGGAGGAAUACCAGUGGCGAAGGCGGCCUUCUGGACUGACACUGACACUGAGGUGCGAAAGCGUGGGUAGCAAACAGGAUUAGAUACCCCUGUAGUC